GACGAACGCUGGCGGCGUGCUUAACACAUGCAAGUCGUACGGUAAGGCCCUUUCGGGGGUACCCGAGUGGCGAACGGGUGCGUAACACGUGAGUAACCUGCCCACAACUUUGGGAUAACGCUAGGAAACUGGGGCUAAUACUGGAUAUGUGCUCCUGCUGCAUGGUGGGGGUUGGAAAGCUCCGGCGGUUGUGGAUGGACUCGCGGCCUAACAGCUUGUUGGUGGGGUAGUGGCCCACGAAGGCGGCGACGGGUAGCCGGCCUGAGAGGGUGACCGGCCACAUUGAGACUGAGAUAGAGACCAGACUCCUACGGGAGGCAGAAGUGGGGAAGAUUGAUCAAGGGGCGCGAGCCUGAUGCAGCAACGCCGCGGGCGGGAGGACGGCCUUCGGGUUGGAGACCGCUUUCAGCAGGGACGAAGCUGUUUGUGACGGUACCUGCAGAAGAAGCACCGGCUAACUACGUG
rnacentral:rRNA from 1 species